AUGAAGCCGGACACCAUGUUCUUUCUGCUUUAUGCCACAGCACUGGUGGUUUUUGGUGAACACAAAGCUGCACAGUCAGGUCCUGCUGUUCUUCUGACUGCUAAUCCUCCAUGGCCAGAUGUGUUCCCAGGAGAGACAAUUACUCUCAGCUGUCAGGUUAUUGAAUCUGAGGGAUGGACAUUUGUGUGGACCAGAUACA